rnacentral:snRNA from 1 species
UUACUUCAGCAAUACGUACAUUAAAAUUAGAAUGAUACAGAGAAGAUUAGCAUGGUCCCUGCAUAAGUAUGACACAGAAAUUUAUGCAGUGUUCCACACUUUU